GCUGAUAUCACCUGUAAGCUAUUGGAGCAGUGCCCAUAGUGCUGUCAUUGAAUCUAGAUCACAUCCCUAUAUAUCUUCCUAAACUAUGUACACAGCACUGCACCAGAACUGCUGUCAGCAUCCACACUCAAGCAGCUGCUCUUCUUACAAUGCUUCCUGGAGGCAUUCUCUCUUUUUGAUUUUCUAAGACUGCUACUCAAACCACUGAUGCCAUCACAACUGACUGCCCUACUCAGGCAUCUCUGAGAUGCUUUGCUACAAAAUAAGGAGAAAAAUUCUCUUUCCCAUGUGGUCUUUUUUGGACACAUUUCAUAGUAGGGCUGCUUGGUGCUAGAAUCAGUCUGGCUUUACAAAUACAUGACCUCAUGGUCUCUCUCUUUCCCCAGGAUAAAUGCUCAGGGAUAGCCGGUAGGUUAACCUGAGUUCAACUAAAGCUGACUUAAUGUAACCAGGAUGAUUCAUCCUCUCCAGCUCUGAAAUCUAUCACUGAGUCAAGCUGUAUUUGAUAUACACUCUCCUCCAUGAUCAUAGAUUUUCUACCAGGGGGCCCACAGUCACUGGUAAAUUAUGGUAAUUUGGAUACUGUUAUGGAAUGAAUUAUGUUCCCUCAAAAUGCAUAUGUUGAAACCCUUCCCCUGAUGUGGCUGUAUUUGGAAAUAAGACCUUUAAGGAGAUAACUAAAGUUAAAUGAGGGCAUAAGUGUGGGGCUUUAAUCCAAUAGAACUCAUGUUCUUGUAAGAACCUUCUUCCCCCACCCUCUCCUUCUCUCCCCCCUCCCUCCACCCCCAAUGCAUGCACACAGGAAAGAUGAUGUGAGUACACAGAGAGAAUGCAGCUGUCUGUAAGCCGGGAAGAAAGAACUCAAUAGAAACCAACUAUGACAACAUCGUUAUCUUGGACUUCUAGCCUCCAUAACUCUCUGCAGGAUGAAUUUCCCUGAAUUCGCUGGGAUGAACUGAUGGAAAACCAGGAGAAGCCAGAAUAUAUCUCAUCCUCCCCUGCCUCAGCUACUCCACCACCUCCUCACCCUCCUGCCCAUGUCUCUAGCUCCCACUAGAGAGGCCCAUUAGACUCCAGCCUCUGUCACAUUAUCCUGGCCUCUGCACUCUGAUAUCAUCCUACAUUCUUUAUGUCAAUUGCCUACAAAUGGUAAUGACUUUCUACCAUUUCUAUUUGAUUUAUCGCACCAUUCUCUCUGUGCCUCUAUCACCUAUAUCAUCAAUUCCUUACUGAUUUCCUCUCUGUUGUAUUAUAUAUUCUUAAAGUGGUUUUGAUUUUCUCAUGUGGAUACUAAUAUGUGUAUGCAUUUGCUUGUUUGUUUAUGUCAUAACUUAUGCCGUGCGUUAUUCCAGAAAAGGUUUAAAGCAAUUUGGAGAAAAUGUAAAAUAUAAGAAGAUAUAUAUCAAAAAUUAAAAGUGGAUUUUUUUUAAAGCUGGGUACAAGGAUAAACUAAACUAAUUUGAUGUAAUAAUGUCAGGUAUAAAGCUAAACUAGCCCGGGCAUGGUGACUCACACCUCUACUCCCAGUACUUUGAGAGGGCAAGGUGAAAGGAUGGCUUGAGACCAGGAAUUCAAGAUCAGCCUUGGCAACGUAGCAAGACUCUGUCUCUACAAAAACAAAAAAAAAAACAAAAAACGAACAAACAAAAUUACCCAGCAGGCAUGGUGGAGCAAGCCUGUAGUCCUAGCUACUGUGGGAGCUGAAGCUGUGGGAUCGUUUGAGCCAGAAGGUCAAGGCCUCAGUAAGCUAUGAUCACAUCACUGCACUCCAUCCUAGGUGACAGAGUAAAACCUUAUCUCUAAAACAAAAUAAAUAAAUAAAUAGAGCUGAAACAAUGCACAACCAGCCUUUGGCAGCAGAUGGCCCUUACAUUUAACUCUAAACUUUCUAGUAGUAAGUGUAAAAAGGGAAACAUGAUUAGCUUGAAAAUUCACAGGUAGGAAGAGAAGAGGAGAAGGAGGAAGAGAAGGAAGUAAUUGUUUAUUUAACUAUUAGGAUCCACUGUUAUUUGUGACAUCUGAUUAAGGUACACGUAAGGUUUUAUCUUUUAAAAUUUUUUAUUUUCCUAAAAGAAACCACUCAAGCAUUCAUGUGGCCAUCUAUUAUUGUUUAAUUCACUCCAUAUCCAACCACUCUCCAAUAUUCCUGGAGUUGAUUCAGUCCAAAGAGAGCUUUCAUGAUGUAUCAUGGUCACAAUUGGAUUCUUCAUAUCCAAUAAAACUGUCAGAGUUAGGCACAGCUCCAUCAGACCAGACGCACUCUUUUCUCAUAGAAAGCCGUCUUCUUUGGGAGCUCAUGGGUAACUUCCUAACAAGGACCUCGGUGCAACCAACACUGGCUGUCAGAAUGUCCUAAUGGCAUUGAAUAUUGUAUGCACAAUUUGUUUUGUAGCUUCUAAAUGAUGCAAAAUAUUUCAUAGUGUCCACAAUCACAUAUCUUUUAUUCAUUUCCCAACAUUAUUUUCAGCACGUUACAUUUGUACUCUGUACAAGGAUUUAUUUGGGAUAUACACCUAGAACUCAUUUCUCAGGGGCACAGAAGCCCAACAGGAAACAAUUAAGAUCAUUAAGUAUAGACAGAUUUAUUUCCAAAAGGGUUUUUCUCGUUUAUGUUCCCCAUGAUAAUAAUUUUAAAAGAUUUAUAAAUAUUCUUAUUUUCUCACAUCUCUGCCAAUGUUGUUUUUAUCUAAUUUUCUAAUUUUUACCUACGGAGACUGUAAAGAGGUAUUCCAUUGCAGUUUCACUUUUCUCUGACUACUAAUGAGUUUGAGCAUUUCUCCAUAUAACUUUACAUCAACUAUACUUCUUUGUAAAUCAACUGCUCAUCUUCUUUACCAAAUCUUUAAUUGAGUUUCCUUUCUUUCCUUUGGAAGUUAACAUGAAUCAUUAAAGAUAAAUACUGUUGAUUUGUGUCACCUGAGGUCAGGAGUUCCAGACCAUCGUGGCCAACAUGAUGAAACCCUGUCUUUACUAAAAAUCAGAAAAUUAGGCCGGUUGCGGUGCCCGUAAUUAUGCCUGUAAUCCCAGCACUUUGGGAGGCCGCGGUAGGCGAAUCACGAGGUCAGGAAAUCGAGACCAUCCUGGCCAACAGAAACCCUGUCUCUACUAAAAAUACAAAAACUAGCUGGGCGUGGCGGGGCGUGCCCGUAGUCCCAGCACUCGGGAGGCUGGGGCGGGAGAAUCGCUUGAACUCAGGGGGCGGGAGAGUCGCUUGAACUCAGGAGGCGGAGUUUGCAGUGAGCCAAGAUGGCGCCGCUGCACUCCAGCCUGGCUACAGAGGUAGACUCCCUCUCAGAUUUAACAAAAAAAAAAAAAAAAUAGCUGGGCGUCGUGUCGGCACGCCUGUAAUCUCAGCUAUUCAAGAGGCUGAGGCAGGAGAAUCGCUUGAACUGGGAGGCGCAGGUUGCAGUGAGCCGAGAUCGCGCCACCAAACUCCAGCCUGGGCGACAGAACAAAACUCCCUCUCAACAACAACAACAACAAAAUACUAUUGAUUUGUUUAGGCUGACUUUCUGAGCAACAAUCUUGAUAAAUUACUUUAUUUAUUGUAAUAAUUGCUUUUUUUCUGUUGAAUUUAAUUUUAUUUUGACAAUUGUGCAAUCAACAAAUGAAGACAUUUUUAACUCUACCUCUUCGUAUUAGUUCGUUUUCACACUGCUGAUAAAGCCAUACCUGAGAGUGGGUAAUUUAUAAAGAAAAAGCGGUUUAAUGGGCUCACAGUUCCACGUGGCUGUGGAGGCCUCACAAUCAUGGCGGAAAGUGAAAGGCACAUCUUGCAUUGGCCCCAGGUGAGAGAGAAUGAAAAACCAAGCGAAAGGGGUUUCCUCUUAUAAAACCAUCAGCUCAGGUGAGACUUAUUUGUUACCAAAAGAACAGUACGUGGGAAACCGGCCCAGUGAUUCAAUUAUCUCCCACCGGGUCUCUCCCAUAACACGUGGAAAUUAUAGGAACUACAAUUCAAAAUGAGGUUUGGGUGAGAGGACCCAGCCAAUCCAUAUCCCUCUCAUAUCUCAAACUCUUUUUUUUUUUCUUCUCUGAUAGUUUUGGUUAUAACUGUGCAAAACACUAUUGAUGAAAAUAGGCAUUCUUUUAUUUGUUUUUAAAGAAACUAUGUUUAAAUGCCCUCAAUUAAAUAUAACAUUUGGUAUAGUUCCCAAGUAUAUAGGCACAUUCUUUAGGGACGCUUUUUUCUACCACAAUUUUUCUGAGUUUUUAAUAAAAACAAGUGUGAUAUUAUUUAUUUUUCAGAUCUAUUGAAGUGAUAGUGUUUUUUAUUAUGUGGUCCUUCAAUGUGAUGAACAAUAGUAUACACUGGUUACCAAUUAUUAACAUUAUGAGUAGAUGACAGGUAUAAUUGAAGUCACGUUGUUGGCUGGGGUAAAUACCCGAAGUUCGUCAUCUCACGCCAAGGAUAUUAAGUAGGCGGACACACAAGAAGUGGGUUUAGAAGCAGAGGUUUAAUAGGCAAAAGAAGGAGAAAGGAGCAAAGCUCUCUCUCUCCUGAGAGACAGGUGCCCCAGUGGGACUUCUGGCCAUCAGUGGAGCCCACAGGGUUUUAUAGACAGCCUGGAGGAGGCGGUGUCUGAUUUACGCACAGCUCACAGAUUGGUUGGACCAGGUGUGACGUUUACAUAGUGCAUGAGGAAACUGGCCACCCCAGCUUAAUCUUUCGUUAUGCAAAUGGGGUCUCUACUUGGCCAGCACUAUGUUCCCUGCUCCUUACUGUGCCCGUGACAAGGAAAGGAGACGAUGGAGCCGCCAUGUUGAACACGUCUAGCCUCAGGUAGCCUUUUCCUAUUGGCACAGCUGCAGGCAUUCACCCUUGCAAGCUUCCAGCUCGCUCAUCUAUGUCUGCAGCUUGUUUUUACAGGCUGCUCUUUGUUAGAUAACAAAAUGACUUGGGGGCUGCUUUUCAUUAAAAGGAAAACCUUACAAUCUGCCUAAAUAAUUUCUUCUUAAGUCCUAUAUCAUAAUUUUCUGUCAAUAAGUAUCGUUCCAUUUUAAAAAUAAACAGUAUUUUAAGGAUUUUAAAAAUUUUCCAACAAACUGUUUAAUUAAGAUAGUCAAAUUUUAUUUAAUAGCUAUGCAUUUGCAUUUAUAAGAUUGGUCUCUAAUUUCUUUUCCUUAUUUCUCCUUAUUCUUAUUUUAUGGGAUUUUAUGAGCUACAACAAAAUGAGUUGGCAAUUAGUCUUCCUUUUGAUUUUUGUGACCAUUUGUUUAAUGUUUUUAAAACAUUUAGAGGGGUAGAUUUGAAACAAUUUGUCUCUAAAAAUGUCUGGGCAUGAGAUUUUUUGAGGAAGUAUAGGAAUCUUUGUUUAUCAUUUAAUUUCUUUCAUGAAUACAAGUCUAUUAACAUUUUCUAUUGCUUUUUUUUUUACCAAAUUCUGCCAUUCUCAUUUUUCAGAAAUGUAUCAAUUGUAUUUUAUUUUAAAAUGUAUUUUAUGCAAUCUUUGUAACAUGCUUUGAAAUUUUAAUAUUUUGAUAUUCCCUU
rnacentral:lncRNA from 1 species